rnacentral:rRNA from 1 species
UACAGAGGGUGCGAGCGUUAAUCGGAAUUACUGGGCGUAAAGCGUGCGCAGGCGGUUCGUUGUGUCCGUCGUGAAAGCCCCGGGCUUAACCUGGGAACUGCGAUGGAAACUAGCGAGCUGGAGUGUGGCAGAGGAGACUGGAAUUCCUGGUGUAGCAGUGAAAUGCGUAGAUAUCAGGAGGAACACCGAUGGCGAAGGCAGGUCUCUGGGCUGACACUGACGCUCAUGCACGAAAGCGUGGGGAGCGAAACAGG